UCGGUGAGGGUUCAAGUCCCUCUAUCCCCA
rnacentral:tRNA from 1 species